AUUGAACGCUGGCGGCAGGCCUAACACAUGCAAGUCGAACGAGUGGCGGAAGGGUGAGUAAUGUCAUGGAAAAUGCAUGAUGGCGGGGGAUAACUACGGGAAACGGGAACUAAUACCGCAUAACAACAGAGGGGCCCAGAUGGGAGUAGCUUGGUGGUGGGGUAACGGAUCACCAAGUAGACGAUCCCUAGAGGGUCUGAGAGGGUGACCAGACACACGGGAACUGAGACACGGUCCAGACUCCUACGGGAGGCAGCAGUGGGGAAUAUUGCACAAUGGGCGCAAGCCUGAUGCAGCCAUGCCGCGUGUAUGAAGAAGGCCUGCGGGUUGUAAAGUACUUUCAGCGGGGAGGCGUUACCCGCAGAAGAAGCACCGGCUAACUCCGUGCCAGCAGCCGCGGUAAUUC
rnacentral:rRNA from 1 species